UCGGGUCUGGGCUGCAGGGCCCGGGGCGGGGAGCGCGGCCCGUUUCCGCAGCGUCACUGGGCCCAUGGAGGGGCAGCAGCGGCGCUGGGACCGGGCCGAGGCAGAGCUGCCGGUGUGGGGAGCUGCCGUGGCGAUGGGACAAAUCGCGUCCAUGGCCGAGGGACACUGGGGAAGGGGGUGGCGGAGCUGCUUGCGCCUCAGCAGCAGCCGCCAACCCCACCAAGCGGCAGGAGAGGUCGGUCCCCUUUGCCCAAGUCCGGCUCUCAAGGGAAGUCAGCGCUGAAUUUGAUUUAAAAAAAAAAAAAAAACUAAAAAGCGAGACAGACUGUUAUGUUUUCCUUUUGAAUCCUGAAGUUUCUUGGUUUCUUUCCGGUGCGAGCACUAGAACACAUUGCCCAGAGUGGUUGUGGAGUCUCCCUCACUGGAGAUACUCAAGAAUCGUCUGGACACACUCAAGAAUCGUCUGGACACAAUCCUGUGCCAUGUGCUCUAGGAUGACCCUGCUUGAGCAGGGAGGUUGGACCAGAUGACCCACUGUGGUCCAUUCCAACCUGAUGCAUUCUUUGAUUCUUCAGCAGGAGUGAAGCUUUGUGACCUUUGCAACCCGUGUGUGUAUGCAGCUCUCUGUGUUUUCCUCUGGGCAAAGCCAGAGUGAAUCCUUCAUUGAGAACUUUUUAGAUAAACACAGGGCAAGAACAAGGGGAUGUGGAACAGCUGGGUCCCAGCUACUUUCUGUAUCACCAGCAGUGUCUCUCUGAAAUCUAAAAGCAUUACAAACAGCAAUUUUUAACUCAUUUCUAAAGCAAGCUCUUGAAUAAUGAGCAUGAGCUCUUCAAUAUCUGUUGCUUGUAGUAAUGCAGGGAGCUUAGGCCUGAUGGCUGCCUGGGAGCUUCCUUCUGGGGGACACCAUUCGUCAUCGUAACAGUUAAUAUUUCACAAAGGUUCUAGUCUCUACAAUAAUAAUUUUCCCAAGUUUUGUUUGCUGUAAAUCAUGUACUGUGUUGUUUGCCUACCUGUAAGGCACCAUGGUUCUGUUCCCUGUUCAUAAACACAGGAAGGUGGAAGACAUCCUUGAGUUUUGACAUGCUGUGGUUUUGAAACUUGGGAAUCUUGAAAAAAAAAAAGAAGAAUCCAAAGAAGAAUAAUUUUUUACUGCGGUACUAUUUUUAAAUUUUCUAUUUUUAAAUAACAGCUUUUCUUCAGACUUUCCUGAAAUUCCUCAUUCUUAUUCAGUGAAUGUUCUAAGAUUUUUUUUUUGUCUUGUAUUGAAAAAGUGAGAAGAACUUUUCAUAAAUUCAAGCAUCCCUACUUCUAUGUUGGGUUCAUUUGCUGCGAGAUCUGUUGCAAAUCAUAUUAAGUUCCCACUGGCAUAGCACUGAACACUCUACCUGUACUCGUAAAUCUUUAGGGAUGCUUUGCGAGCUUUGACACUCAGUCUGCUCAACACUGCCAGCCAAAUACUGCAAGAUUGCUCCUGGGUUUGGAAAUGAAUCUUACACGUGGUUACAGAAUUGAAAACUCUUUCAGAUCUGCUGUGUACAAGAACUGGGAACUAUACACAUGCCUGGAUCUCAGCUUGUAUGAAAAUUAUGGAGGUACUUCCAGACACCUAGUAACCUACAGACAAUCUACUAUUCACAAAGCAACACCAGAGAGGAGCCCUGAGGCUGCUGAAGAGUUUCUUAAGGAGAAGAAACUACAGGAGAGUUUCCAUCAGCUGAAUGGAUGUUAAUUCCUUUGUGUUAGGGGUGGCCUUUAUGUAGCAGGCACUGCAGUCAUAUCUAUAAAACACAAAAUAAUUGUAGAAAUAGCUACACUCACUAUACUCACGUAAGUAGCAUGGAGGCCAGCACACUAUGUUGGUGUGCUCACACUGCUGCAGCUACACCGCUGGCAUGACCAAUGUAAUUUGUAGGUAACUCAGCCCAGCCUAGAAAAGACUCAAUAUGACCAAGUACUUCUGAGGUCCUCCAGCACAACUGCCUGCAAAGAUAACUGAAGUGUGACUCCUUCAUUCUUUUACAGGCAGUUCUAUAAACCACGAGGAUUACAAAUUUCCUAUGGAAGAGAUCCAGAUGAAGAACUUUGGUGUAGAGGCCUUGAUUUACCUGAUGUGUUGUACUCAUCUUUGUUGGUUUAUGAAGAUUAUAGACCUCUUAUUUCGUUUAGAGAAAUUUGCUCUUGAUAUAAAUAUUUGUAGAGCUGCAUGUGUGGCUGUGUUUAUAACCAGCAGUGUGAAAUAAAUUAGGUUACUCAGGUUGCAUCAAAACAGAUAAGCAGAAUUAACUUCUCAGGGAAUUUGGAAGACAGCUGUAGUGGUAAUCCAAUCACAAAGAGCCAAAUGCUUUCCUUUGUAGUAAAAUGGCUACCCAGAUCACCUCCACAUGUGAAUAUGCAUUCCCAAUAAAGCAGGGCUGUACUAUUGUAUGUACCUAUGUCCUGGGUAAUGUGCUAGCAGGAACGUCCAUAACUAAGGAUGCAUAGACGUUGCAAUUUCAUAGUUGGUACUGGUAUUUUGGCAGCAUUUCUACAAGUUGUAUUGAGUAUUUCACAAAUAGCAGCCGCUUUCUGGAACCUGCUCCCAGGGCACAAUGGAUGAGCUUGUUUGUCUCCUCACACCAGUGCAUGGAUGGGCUCUUGGCUGACUGCUGGCUGAAGCAUAGGAAAUUCCAGGUCAGAACACUCACUGUUCCACCUGAGAGCCAAGCCCUGGAGCUACUGAACAGAUCAUUAAGUAGGAUGUAAAACUUGUUCAGCCAGUCUGAAACCUUAUUUCCCUUUGACAGUAUGGUCAUCAUAGAUUCCUAUGGCUGUUUAUUUCUAGGGGCCUUACUUCCCUGCUCCAAUCCUAACUAAACCACACCAUAACCUAAGAACAUCUGACAAAUGAUUGAACUAUAACAUUAGGAGUUAACAUGUACUACACAUUGAGAGAUUCUUUAUCAAAUGGGGUGCUCCUGACCAGCUCAGCCACGGUUUGUUACGGGGGAUACAAAUAUCUGGUGGGCUUGAAUGUCUUAUUUUGUUGGAGGCAAGAUUACAGAAAGCCAGACUUAUAGUAGAAUUUCAAAGAAAUGGACAUUUCCUUGUCCUAUGAGGAGUGGCUGAGGGAGCUGGGGUUGUUUAGCCUGGAGAAGAGAAGGCUCAGGGGAG